rnacentral:rRNA from 1 species
UACGGAGGGGGCUAGCGUUGUUCGGAAUUACUGGGCGUAAAGCGCGCGUAGGCGGAUCUGCAAGUCGGGGGUGAAAUCCCGAGGCUCAACCUCGGAACUGCCUUCGAUACUGCGGGUCUCGAGUCCGGGAGAGGUGAGUGGAAUUCCUAGUGUAGAGGUGAAAUUCGUAGAUAUUAGGAAGAACACCAGUGGCGAAGGCGGCUCACUGGCCCGG